GAGCAGGUAGGGGACAGAGGUGAUAGAGAUGGGGACAGAGGUGAUAGAGAUGGGGACAGAGGUGGCAGAGAUUAGAGGACAGACGUGAUAGAGAUGGGGACAGAGGUGACAGACAUGGGACAGAGGUGGCAGAGAUGAGGGGACAGAGGUGACAGAGGUGAGGACAGAGGUGAUAGAGAUGGGGACAGAAGUGGCAGAGAUGAGGGGACAGAGGUGACAGAGGUGGGGACAGACAUGAUGGAGAUGGGGACAGAAGUGGCAGAGAUGAGGGGACAGAGGUGACAGAGGUGGGGACAGAGGUGAUGGAGAUGGGGACAGAG